AUUGAACGCUGGCGGCAUGCUUUACACAUGCAAGUCGAACGGCAGCACGGACUUCGGUCCGGUGGCGAGUGGCGAACGGGUGAGUAAUACAUCGGAACGUGCCCAGUUGUGGGGGAUGACUACUCGAAAGAGUAGCUAAUACCGCAUGAGAACUGAGGUUGAAAGCAGGGGAUCGCAAGACCUUGCGCAACUGGAGCGGCCGAUGGCAGAUUAGGUAGUUGGUGGGAUAAAAGCUUACCAAGCCGACGAUCUGUAGCUGGUCUGAGAGGACGACCAGCCACACUGGGACUGAGACACGGCCCAGACUCCUACGGGAGGCAGCAGUGGGGAAUUUUGGACAAUGGGCGAAAGCCUGAUCCAGCAAUGCCGCGUGCAGGAUGAAGGCCUUCGGGUUGUAAACUGCUUUUGUACGGAACGAAAAGCUUCGGGUUAAUACCCUGGAGUCAUGACGGUACCGUAAGAAUAAGCACCGGCUAACUACGUGCCAGCAGCCGCGGUAAGAC
rnacentral:rRNA from 1 species